rnacentral:rRNA from 1 species
GACGAACCGUGCGAACGUUGUUCGGAAUCACUGGGCUUAAAGGGCGCGUAGGCGGGUGUGCAAGUCUGUGGUGAAAGCCUCCAGCUUAACUGGAGAAGUGCCAUGGAUACUGCACAUCUUGAGGAGGGUAGGGGCAUCUGGAACGGUCGGUGGAGCGGUGAAAUGCGUUGAUAUCGACCGGAACUCCGGUGGCGAAGGCGAGGUGCUGGACCCUUCUGACGCUGAGGCGUGAAAGCCAGGGGAGCAAAGCAGG